ACUCCUACGGGAGGCAGCAGUGGGGAAUAUUGGACAAUGGGCGCAAGCCUGAUCCAGCCAUGCCGCGUGAGUGAUGAAGGCCCUAGGGUUGUAAAGCUCUUUCACCGGUGAAGAUAAUGACGGUAACCGGAGAAGAAGCACCGGCUAACUUCGUGCCAGCAGCCGCGGUAAUACGAAGGGGGCUAGCGUUGUUCGGAUUUACUGGGCGUAAAGCGCACGUAGGCGGACUAUUAAGUCAGGGGUGAAAUCCCGGGGCUCAACCCCGGAACUGCCUUUGAUACUGGUAGUCUUGAGUUCGAGAGAGGUGAGUGGAAUUCCGAGUGUAGAGGUGAAAUUCGUAGAUAUUCGGAGGAACACCAGUGGCGAAGGCGGCUCACUGGCUCGAUACUGACGCUGAGGUGCGAAAGCGUGGGGAGCAAACAGGAUUAGAAACCCCGGUAGUCCCA
rnacentral:rRNA from 1 species